CCUGGCCAUUUUCCUUUUUCCUUUUUGCCAUUUUAUUUAUUUUACUCAUUUUAUUUUUCUCUUUUGAUUUUUUUAACUCCUUUAUUUUUACUAUUUUGUAAAAAUGUUGAACAUCAACCCACCCCCACCCCCUCAUUUUUUCCUCUAGAAUUUAAUGGUGAUUUUCUUUAUUUUAUUUGGAUCAUUUAUGAUAGACUUUUGGAGUCUUAAAAUGAGGGACUAAUGAAAAUCAUUUAAGUCAUGAUGUGCUUAGUUUAGGGUUAAUAAAAAC
rnacentral:lncRNA from 1 species